rnacentral:rRNA from 1 species
UACGUAGGGUGCAAGCGUUAAUCGGAAUUACUGGGCGUAAAGCGUGCGCCGGCGGUUAUGCAAGACAGAUGUGAAAUCCCCGGGCUCAACCUGGGAACUGCAUUUGUGACUGCAUGGCUAGAGUACGGUAGAGGGGGAUGGAAUUCCGCGUGUAGCAGUGAAAUGCGUAGAUAUGCGGAGGAACACCGAUGGCGAAGGCAAUCCCCUGGACCUGUACUGACGCUCAUGCACGAAAGCGUGGGGAGCAAACAGG